UAGAGUUUGAUCCUGGCUCAGAUUGAACGCUGGCGGCAGGCUUAACACAUGCAAGUCGAGCGGUAGCACAGGGGAGCUUGCUCCCCGGGUGACGAGCGGCGGACGGGUGAGUAAUGUCUGGGAAACUGCCUGAUGGAGGGGGAUAACUACUGGAAACGGUAGCUAAUACCGCAUAACGUCGCAAGACCAAAGAGGGGGACCUUCGGGCCUCUUGCCAUCAGAUGUGCCCAGAUGGGAUUAGCUAGUAGGUGGGGUAAUGGCUCACCUAGGCGACGAUCCCUAGCUGGUCUGAGAGGAUGACCAGCCACACUGGAACUGAGACACGGUCCAGACUCCUACGGGAGGCAGCAGUGGGGAAUAUUGCACAAUG
rnacentral:rRNA from 1 species